rnacentral:rRNA from 1 species
AUUGAACGCUGGCGGCAGGCCUAACACAUGCAAGUCGAGCGAGCGGCGGACGGGUGAGUAAUGCCUGGGAAUUGCCCAGUCGAGGGGGAUAACAGUUGGAAACGACUGCUAAUACCGCAUACGAUUGGAUUGCCCAGGUGGGAUUAGAUAGUGGGUGAGGUAAUGGCUCACCAAGGCGACGAUCCCUAGCUGGUCUGAGAGGAUGAUCGGCCACACGGGAACGGGGACACGGUCCGGACUCCUACGGGAGGAAGCAGUGGGGAAGUUUGCACAGUGGGGGAAACCCUACUGAGGCCAGGCGGCGUGUGUGAAGAAGGCCUUCGGGUUGUAAAGCACUUUCAGCGAGGAGGCGUUACUCGCAGAAGAAGCACCGGCUAACUCCGUGCCAGCAGCCGCGGUAAUAC